rnacentral:misc_RNA from 1 species
AUUUAUCUAAAGCCCAACAAGUAGAAACUAGGACCAUUUAUGAGACCAAACGCUCUCAAACAUCUACCUACGCGAAAUCGAUUCGCAGAGAGAAUCAAACAGCAAAUUCAUCUUGAAAGUUCUUUUGCUGUUUCUCGUCAAAAACAACCAAGAGCAUUCUUCAAUGGACGGUAACAUCCAACCACCGACGGAAUCGAAUCCCGAGACUGAUGAUCAAACUAUCGAAAUCGAUCCUUCAAGCACGGUUCUCGAUCUCACCAGCUUCCAGCUCCACAAUCUGGACUCAGUCGAGUUAUCUCAGGGUCUUACUGAGUUGGAUUUGACCGCGAA